rnacentral:rRNA from 1 species
CGAACAGACGAGGAGCUUGCUCCUCUGACGUUAGCGGCGGACGGGUGAGUAACACGUGGAUAACCUACCUAUAAGACUGGGAUAACUUCGGGAAACCGGAGCUAAUACCGGAUAAUAUAUUGAACCGCAUGGUUCAAUAGUGAAAGACGGUUUUGCUGUCACUUAUAGAUGGAUCCGCGCCGCAUUAGCUAGUUGGUAAGGUAACGGCUUACCAAGGCAACGAUGCGUAGCCGACCUGAGAGGGUGAUCGGCCACACUGGAACUGAGACACGGUCCAGACUCCUACGGGAGGCAGCAGUAGGGAAUCUUCCGCAAUGGGCGAAAGCCUGACGGAGCAACGCCGCGUGAGUGAUGAAGGUCUUCGGAUCGUAAAACUCUGUUAUUAGGGAAGAACAAAUGUGUAAGUAACUAUGCACGUCUUGACGGUACCUAAUCAGAAAGCCACGGCUAACUACGUGCCAGCAGCCGCGGUAAUACGUAGGUGGCAAGCGUUAUCCGGAAUUAUUGGGCGUAAAGCGCGCGUAGGCGGUUUUUUAAGUCUGAUGUGAAAGCCCACGGCUCAACCGUGGAGGGUCAUUGGAAACUGGAAAACUUGAGUGCAGAAGAGGAAAGUGGAAUUCCAUGUGUAGCGGUGAAAUGCGCAGAGAUAUGGAGGAACACCAGUGGCGAAGGCGACUUUCUGGUCUGUAACUGACGCUGAUGUGCGAAAGCGUGGGGAUCAAACAGGAUUAGAUACCCUGGUAGUCCACGCCGUAAACGAUGAGUGCUAAGUGUUAGGGGGUUUCCGCCCCUUAGUGCUGCAGCUAACGCAUUAAGCACUCCGCCUGGGGAGUACGACCGCAAGGUUG